UGGGGGGGAGUGUUACGCAUAAUGCGAGCACCUCUCGUUUUCACCGUCUUGAAACAUUGUCUAUCAAACGGCCUACGCUGUCACAUUUGUUAGUUCGUGAUCAGCGUUGGCCGAGAUGGAUUCGUACUAAAUGAAAUUUAUAGCAUCUGUUUUAAUAAACACUUUUAUUCGAAAAUGGUGUUAUAAAUUCAGAAAUAACAUCUCGGUCAAUUGCGAAACGCAACACCACUAAACUGUUUUGAACAUCGUCCGAUCGAAAUCUAUUUGGCCAUGAUGAAGCGCGAACUUCGGAAAAUCAAAAAAGAGAGAAGACGAAAAGGAAACGACUGUACAUUGUAUAGUGUACAGUGUACAAGCUUUAAUGGAGUGCGUCAAUCAAAAAUAUCGAGCAUUUUAUUCAAACUCACCCCAGAAGUUAAUCGUCAUAUGUAAAUUAGAGUUUUUUUCUGACGGUUUUCAGCUUCCCGGUAACCGGGAAAUAAAUAAUAAAUUUCCCGGGAAAUCCCGGUAUCCCGGGAAUACAGAAGAAAAAAAAAGGUGAAUGAUUUUCUUGAAAACAAAAAAAAAUUGAAAAGUUUUCAAACCCGUUUGAUUGCAUGUAUAUCUGUUCUAAAAGCAGUUGUCAGAAAAUGGCGAUUUGGUGGCCUACACAUCAUUCAAUCAUUCGAUAACUCGUCAAUAAGUUUACACAACAUCAACUACUUUUUUUUUCUUUUGAUGAUUUUUCUUGGCUAUAUGUAUAACCUAAAUAUUGGUAAUUACGAUUACGAUUGGAACUAAACGCAGCUUCUUGAGUUACCGUCCAAAAUUGGAAUUCGCUGUUUUGAUAUGAUGAAAUGUAAUCAAUUUAAUGCAAAGCACCUUCUUUGGUAAUCUUGAAUAAAAAAGAUUGAGCUGCUUCA